rnacentral:lncRNA from 12 species
AUCUUUUAUUUUUUUUUUUUAGAUUUUAUCUUACUUAUUUGAGAAAGAGAGAAACAAAGGGAGAGGGAGAAGCAGACUCCCCACUGAGCAGGGAUCCCAGUGUGGGGCUCGAUCCCAGGACCCCGAGAUCAUGACCUGAGCUGAAGACAGCAGCUUAACUGACUGAAGCCCCCAGGCACCCUCCCUUACACACCGCCUUUAUCUCUGUCUGGGUCACAGCGUUCCCCAGUUGCAGUCCGAACAAAAUAGCCCCCCACGUGUGAUCCCAACAUCCUUGCUUACACACUGGCCAAUUUUAAAACUGGGUCACUGUCAGAUCUGGGGCUGUUCAAAGGGGGCUAAUUUAAAGAGCUGAUGAGAAUUCUCCAAAAUAGCAAGAGCAAUUUUCCGAAUAGUCUGUGCACUAAGGAACAAAGUUUGUGUUCAGUUUGUAAUUGAUUAGCUCUGUCUUAACUUGGACUCCAUCCUUUUGUGUCAACUCAUCUUGAGGCGCCGUGAUGUGUCUCAUAGGCCCUGUUCUCUGUGCUCACGACAUUUCGUAUCCCUUAAUAGCUGUAGUGAACAAGCAUACGCUAGAAAAAUAAUGAAGCGCUGUGAGCCAUGAAUACAAAGUUUGCCUCUUUGGUGCAAAUAAAUUCAGAGGUAUCUGUGAUCUUGGGUGACUAAGUAAGGAGUAAGACUUGGUUAGUUCGCCUUCAUCAAGUUUCUUCUUGUCUGAAUUCACUUUGGAAACAGUCCCUUUAGGAUAAGUACCAGAUUCUUAAAAAUUUAUUGUCUAAAGGUAAAUGUGUUGGAAGGUUUUCAAUAAUUCAAAAUAUGGGCUUAUGAUGGAAUCAGGUCUGGAAACUCCACAAGCCCCGUGGGACCGCGCCUGUGGAGCUGGGCUGUGCUGAUCACAGGUGCUGGGGAAAAAGUGAACGGGGUGACCAAGCUUCCCGUCGGCGCUUCUGCUGGAACGCGAGUGCGGAGCAGGUCAUCUGUGAUACCUCCUAAGGGGUGUGAAAGCGGGAUGACCCUUUCAGAAUUCCACCCCUGAUAUCAAGAGGUCUAAUCUGGAAACUCAGUGAACUGGUCACUGCAGAGGCACCCCCAUUGAUUCUAUGCUCUUGUCCGCUGUUGCCUUUCCGCCCCCAGCUCGGCUCGAAUCCUUUUUCAACAAAACAGUAAGAGAGGUUUGAUUGCCUUCGGAAGGAGCGGGCUCAGGUAUGUAAUCAGGCCUUAAUUGGAAGCGCUGAGUGCUGAGUCUGGCCUGUCAGAUGAGCAGAUGCCCUCCAGGGAGAAGGAUGAGUGCAGACCUCUUGAAGCCCCUCUGUGCUAAAUAAUAGAAACGGAAGGCUCCCUGAAUGGGCCCAUCUAGGCAAUCAACACAGCUGUUUUCCGCUGCAUAAAACAAUUUCAACCAACUCAGUAAACUCAAUUAAUCCUCUUUAGAAGAUACUGAGUGGGAGAAAAGAGAUUUAUUUUGAAUAUCCUCCCUAGAGCUGUCAGCACUGGGGCUCGGCAGGGCAAAUAUGAGCUGGAGAUAGAAGGACCCACGCAGGCGUGGACUCAACCACAAAUCGUAGUCUACAGAU